rnacentral:sRNA from 1 species
GUGAUACUAUCGAUGAUAACGGCAGACGAUGGCGAGCGGUUGAAGCCAAAGGGAGACAAACCAGGAGUGAUCACAUCUUGUGUGCUCAUUUAAUGGUCAACGCCGACCGGACCAUCAGCAGUCGGCUGCUAAUUGAGAGACUUUUCAUUAACGGACUUUUGAAUCAUUCCAAGUGGAUAUCUUGUGUUCUGCACAGUGUGUGUUGGUGUUCCACUGCGGAUUGUGCUCUGACCGCACGUGUAGGGAAGAUGCUAUAGACCUACGUGUUAUAUGUUAUAAAGAAUUUAUCCGUGUUAUAUGUUAUAAAGUGUGUUAUUGGUGUUUUCUAUAACAGGAACUUUUAAUCUGAGCUGCUAUAUAGAACCAAACUAUUAGCGAUUCACACUCUGUUACAAAGCUUACUACUAAAUACUUUAAACAGUUUAGAAAAUCUGAGACACGCUCUUUUGUUGACCUUAACAAAAAUAUUGUAGACUCUUGACAGUGCUAAUCAAUUUACACUUCUGACGCCGAGUCUUUUAAUACUGCAGUUAUCGGAACUCCCUUUCGUACUUAGUUAUCUUACAAUACUGGACCUAGUUGUAGAGUCCAAAUAGUCAGCUCUAUUCAUUUUGAUGCUUCUUAACAAGGGAGGAGCGUAAAUAUAAUUCUUAUCUACGUCACUUGGACAAAGCGGCGCAGAAAAACACUUACAACAAAGACAUUUAGAAAGACACCUGAUUCUCUGAGAGUAGUAACUUCUGUUACUUUUGUGGACACAUCUUGUGUUUGAGGCUGACACUUCAGACUGGAUUACUUACGUUACCUGAACCAAUCACUGCAGCUCGUAGAUGAUUGUGGGAAAGUGAAAGGCUGGCUACACUCCAGUGAUCCCGGCAGUUGGAUGAAACUGACCAGUAGUGACCCUCACAGACCCAGGGAUCGGAUGGCUGUGCAAGUGGACGAACAGGUGAGUCUAUACAAUAGUCGAUCCGUCUGUUACUUUCUGAGAUACGCCUUUACAAGUUUUAUAAAAACAU